GGAGGGGCCGUGAAUGGGAGCAGCAGCAUGCCUCCACCCGGCCUCUGGAGCGCGGGGCUGUGGCUGAGUGGCGGCAUGAGCCGGUUCGUUUUGGAACCCGGGCCCCCGGGGAAGCGGUGGCUGGUGGCUGGCCUGGGGAACUCCGGACUGCCGGGCACAAGGCACAGCGUGGGUAUGGCGGUGCUGGGGCAACUGGCACGGCGGCUGGGGGUGGCUGAGAGCUGGGUCCGUGACCGUCGCUGCGCCGCCGACCUCGCCCUGGCCUCACUUGGGGAUACCCAGCUGGUCCUGCUUCGGCCGCGGCGUCUCAUGAAUGCCAACGGGCGCAGCGUGGCCCAGGCCGCGGAGCUUUUCAGGCUGACUGCUGAGGAGGUCUACCUGGUGCAUGAUGAACUGGACAAGCCCCUGGGGAAGCUGGCUCUGAAGCUGGGGGGAAGCGCCAGGGGCCACAAUGGAGUUCGUUCCUGUAUUAGCUGCCUCAAGUCCAGUGCAAUGCCACGGCUGCGGGUAGGCAUCGGGCGCCCGACGCACCCUGAUGCCGUGCAGGCGCACGUGCUGGGCUGCUUCUCCCCCUCCGAGCAGGAGCUGCUGCCUCCAUUGCUGGAGCGCGCCACAGACCUGCUCCUGGACCACAUCCGUGAGCGAAGCCAGAGGCCCUUGUCAGGCACCUGACACCAGUGGACAUGGCUGCCCGCCUGACUGCCACACCCACACACCUGGCCAUGUCCACAGAGGUGCCACGCCAGCCUGUGUAAAACCAGUCGAAAGUCACCACGGACACCGAAUGGGCGCUGAUGUUUUUAUUUAUUAGACUGAGUGCUUUCGUACAGAACAGUACAGAGAUGAUACAUGUUUGUGC